rnacentral:rRNA from 1 species
UACAGAGGUCUCAAGCGUUGUUCGGAAUCACUGGGCGUAAAGGGUGCGUAGGCUGCACGGUAAGUCAGAGGUGAAAUCCCGGAGCUCAACUCCGGAAUUGCCUCCGAUACUGCCGUGCUUGAGGACUGGAGAGGAGUCUGGAAUUCACAGUGGAGCAGUGAAAUGCGUAGAUAUUGUGAGGAACACUAGUGGCGAAGGCGAGACUCUGGACAGUUCCUGACGCUGAGGCACGAAGGCCAGGGGAGCAAACGGG